AGGGGCGGCCAGGCCAGGCGGAAGCUGUUGGACGUCACCUCGGAGGCGUAGAGCUGCUGUGGCUGCAUUGCAUCUGUGGAAGGCUCAGCUGCCAAGGGCCACUAGGGGUCAGAUGUCCCUGGGGAAGACUUUGGGGGAGGACCCUCUACCCCUUCCCAGUCCACAGACCCACACCUUCCUGCUCAGGGUAGGUGAGUAACCCAAAGGCAGAGAUUUGGUAAAAAUCCUGGGGUGGUGGCACUUUUCUGUGGCUACAGCAAGCCUAACCAGCCAUCAGGCCCCUCAUCUCCAGCCCUUCCCCCUUUGAGGCUUGGCUGAGGGGGUGAUCCAGGAAAAGGCCCCUGGAUGCUGCCCCACCCUGCGGCAGACUUCCUGGUCUGGCUUCAUCCCCGGCUGUUCUCACAACACACUUGCUGUACAAACCAACACAGGUCCUUCCGUGGCUGUCCUCACCCAGAACAGCCCAGGGGUCUGAGCAUAUGAGGGCACCUGGUUGGUUUGUGUUCCUGAAGGUGCAUGGAGAAACGAAGAGUCAUCUGCCUCCCAUUCCCACCUUGGGGCACCAAGCACUUGAGUUCUGAGGGCUCUCCUCCCACCUACCAAGAAUGGAGCCCCGCAGCUCUUGGGCAAUGAUGUGCAGAUCAUCCACAUCAACGAAGUGCAGAUGCUUCUGAGCAGGGGCUGAGGCAGCUGCAGACAGCUCUAGCAGGUUGCCACGGCCCGUGCUGACAAUGAAGACUGUGACGCCCUGGUCCUUGAGCUCCU